rnacentral:rRNA from 1 species
UACAGAGGGUGCAAGCGUUGUUCGGAAUUAUUGGGCGUAAAGCGCGUGUAGGCGGCUUAGCAAGUCGGGCGUGAAAGCCCUCGGCUCAACCGAGGAAGUGCACCCGAAACUGCUGAGCUUGAGUGCCGGAGAGGAUGGCGGAAUUCCAGGUGUAGCGGUGAAAUGCGUAGAUAUCUGGAGGAACACCGGUGGCGAAGGCGGCAUCCUGGACCGGUAUUGACGCUGAGGCGCGAAAGCCAGGGGAGCAAACGGG